rnacentral:rRNA from 1 species
GAGGUUCUAGCCGCCCGUACCCCAAACCGACUCAGGUGGUUAGGUAGAGAAUACCAAGGCGAUCGAGUGAAUCGUGGUUAAGGAAUUCGGCAAAAUACCCCCGUAACUUCGGGAGAAGGGGGGCCCAGAGGGUGACGGGACUUGCUCCCCGAGCCUGAACGGCUGCAGAGACCAGGGAGAAGCGACUGUUUACUAAAAACACAGGUCCGUGCCAAGUCGCAAGACGAUGUAUACGGACUGACGCCUGCCCGGUGCUGGAACGUUAAGGGGACCGGUUAGCCUCACGGCGAAGCUGAGAACUUAAGCGCCAGUAAACGGCGGUGGUAACUAUAACCAUCCUAAGGUAGCGAAAUUCCUUGUCGGGUAAGUUCCGACCUGCACGAAUGGCGUAACGACUUCUCCACUGUCUCAACCACGAACUCGGCGAAAUUGCACUACGAGUAAAGAUGCUCGUUACGCGCAGAAGGACGGAAAGACCCCGGGACCUUUACUACAGCUAUUGGUGUUCGGUACGGCUUGUGUAGGAUAGGUGGGAGACUGUGAAGCUGACACGCCAGUGUCGGUGGAGUCAACGUUGAAAUACCACUCUGGUCGUUCUGGAUAUCUAACCUAGGUCCGUAAUCCGGAUCAGGGACAGUGCCUGGUGGGUAGUUUAACUGUGGCGGUUGCCUCCUAAAAGGUAACGGAGGCGCCCAAAGGUUCCCUCAGCCUGGUUGGCAAUCAGGUUUCGAGUGUAAGUGCACAAGGGAGCUUGACUGUGAGACUGACAAGUCGAACUGGGACGAAAGUCGGGACUAGUGAUCCGGCGGUGGCUUGUGGAAGCGCCGUCGCUCAACGGAUAAAAGGUACCCCGGGGAUAACAGGCUGAUCUUGCCCAAGAGUCCAUAUCGACGGCAUGGUUUGGCACCUCGAUGUCGGCUCGUCGCAUCCUGGGGCUGGAGUAGGUCCCAAGGGUUGGGCUGUUCGCCCAUUAAAGCGGUACGCGAGCUGGGUUUAGAACGUCGUGAGACAGUUCGGUCCCUAUCCUCUGCGCGCGCAGGAAACUUGAGAAGGGCUGUCCCUAGUACGAGAGGACCGGGAUGGACGAACCUCUGGUGUGUCAGUUGUUCUGCCAAGAGCACCGCUGAUUAGCUACGUUCGGGAGUGAUAACCGCUGAAAGCAUCUAAGCGGGAAGCAUGCUUCAAGAUGAGGUUUCCAUGGGGUUUACCCCGAGAGGCUCCCAGCUAGACUACUGGGUUGAUAGGCCGGAUGUGGAAGUGCGGUAACGCAUGGAGCUGACCGAUACUAAUAAGCCGAUAACUUGACU